AUUUGCUCGAAGAUUGUAAAAUUAAGCAUGGCAGCUUCUUCUUCAUCAGCUUUCCUUUCAUUAAGAGAUGAAAACGACAAGCAGCAGCAGCAGCCGGCGGCAGCAGCAGCGGCACCUUCAAACAAGAGGCGGCGGAACCAGCCAGGAAAUCCAAAUCCGGACGCGGAAGUAAUCGCGCUAUCGCCCAAGACCCUAAUGGCGACGAACCGGUUCGUGUGCGAGGUGUGCAACAAAGGGUUCCAAAGGGAGCAGAAUCUGCAGCUGCACCGGCGAGGGCACAAUCUGCCGUGGAAGCUGCGGCAGAAGAGCACGAAGGAGGUGAAACGGAAGGUGUACCUGUGCCCGGAGCCGAGCUGCGUGCACCACGACCCGGCGCGGGCCCUCGGCGACCUCACCGGAAUCAAGAAGCACUACUCCAGAAAACACGGCGAGAAGAAAUACAAGUGUGAGAAAUGCUCCAAGAAAUACGCCGUGCAUUCCGACUGGAAAGCCCAUUCCAAGACGUGCGGCACCCGCGAGUACAGAUGCGACUGCGGCACCCUUUUCUCCAGACGUGACAGUUUCAUCACUCACCGAGCCUUCUGCGACGCGCUGGCUCAGGAGAGCGCGCGAAACCUGAACCCGCCGUCCCUGAGCAGCAUCGGCAGCCACCUAUUAGGGCUCUCCCAGCAAGAUCAGAUCAACAAUGGAGGUCUAUCAAGUCAUGACAUACUCAGAUUGGGCAGGCCCGGCCCGCAAUACGAAACCCUAGUCAGCCCGGGAGGGUUCCGGCCUUCGCCCCGGGCCCUAUUCCUCCAACCGAAUCACGACGAUGAUCAUCAAGAUCAAGCUUCUCAUGCCAUGCUGCCCAACAAAUCAUCACUGCAAGGCCUUAUGCAGCUCCCUCAGCUCCACAUGAACAACGCCGCCAACACCUCGUCCAACGCCUCCGCCGGCCUCUUCAACCUCAGCUUCUUCCCCGGGAACAACAACAACGCCUCCGCCAUGGACUCCGCUGCCGGAGAAGACUCCACCCUCUUCUCAUCAGGUAACCUCAUGAGCAUUGCGAUCCCAUCGCUGUACAGCACCUCGCACGCCAUGCAAACCCCCAGCGGCGGCGGAGGGCAAAUGUCCGCGACGGCGCUUCUGCAGAAGGCUGCGCAGAUGGGCUCCACCACCAGCAACGCAGGCGCGUCGUCGUCCCUGCUGAAGGGGUUCGGGAAGUCCCCCGACCACCACGGAUUCUAUGGAGGAAACAACAACAACAAUAACAACAGCGGAAACCAUCUGCACGACUUGAUGAACUCCAUAGCUGCCGCGGGAGGCAGCUCCGCGGCGUCCAUAUUCGAGCAGGCGGAGAUGGGCGAGUACAGAGGGUUCCACGGCGGCAACGGCAACGGCAGCAGCAAUCAGCAGAGUGGAUUCAGCAGCUUGGAGCAAGCGGGGAGGCUGACGAGGGAUUUUCUUGGAGUGGGAGAGAUUGUGAGAAGUGUGAGAGAGCAGCAGCAAAGUGGGAUGGAUCAUCUCAGCUCUAUGGAUUCGCAGGGAAAAACGACGUCGCAUUCGCAUACCCAACCUUUUGGUGGGGGGACUUUUCAGUGAAGGCUGGGAGUUUUGGAUUCGAAUUAGGAAAGAGAGAUGAUCAUUUUACAGGAGAUCCAACGGCUUGAUUGAAGAAGAUGGCUAGCUUGUGUUUCUGCUGUGUACAUGGAUCCAAAUCAAAAACAACAAAAAAUUAGUUUUUUUUUUCUUCUGCUCUUAUAAUUUCUAGGUGAACUAGAAGAAGGAACGUACCUGAAACUUGUUAUUUUAAAUUUUGUAGUGUGACAAUUUUUGUUCUUUUACCCUUUUGAAUGAACAUUUUGAAACAAGAAAAAUAUAAAAAGAAAUGCACAAGUUCAAAACCAA